UUUUCCGGGGGGCGGAGCUAACCUGGCAGGGAGGGAAGGAUUAGGAGAAGCGGUGACACUAGGUCCAAGGCGGGAAGCGCCUCGGUUAGAUUGAGGGAAAUAAAGAGGAUGUCCUUUGUGGGAUGAUGGGUGAGGACCUACCACAAGAGAAGCGUGGCGAAGGCCGAAAACCGAGGGACUGGCGGGGUUCGCGCUAAGGGAAGCUUGGACGAGACCAUCUACGGAUAGGGGGUUAGGGCGAUACCAUCUUGAGGGAGUUAGGGGGUGGCAAAGAACAGCCGUGGAAGGUGCUACUUGGAGGAGGCGGGGCGCACGUGGGAACCCAAAGAGACUGGGCCGUCGCCCACGUCCGCACUUCCCUUCCCCAGCCGUCCCGAUCCUGCCAUGAGCGCUGCGGUGCGGACCGAGCCGCUGCGCGGGGAGCCGCCUCUGCUGGUGCGCGGCGACCCCUACUCGGUGGUGGUCCUGCUUCAGGGCUACGCGGAGCCGGAGGGGGUCGACGACGCGGUACGCGCCGACGGCUCCGUGACGCUUGUGCUGCCUCAGGCCUGGGGCUCAGCCACCAGCCUCCAAGAGUCCCCGCCCCACAGCGGCGGGGCGAAGACCGCCCUGGAAGAGGCGGCCCGUGGCCCCAUCCUCGUGGACACUGGGGGCCCCUGGGCUCGGGAGGCGCUCCUGGGGGCCCUGGCGGGGCAGGGCGUGGCCCCUGGAGACGUGACGCUGGUGGUGGGCACCCACGGACACUCGGAUCACAUCGGGAACCUGGGGCUUUUUCCUGGGGCGGCUCUGCUGGUCUCGCACGACUUCUGCCUGCCCGGAGGCCGCUACCUCCCCCACGGGCUAGGUGAGGAGCGGCCCCUGCAGCUGGGCCCCGGGCUCGAGGUGUGGGCCACGCCGGGCCAUGGGGGCCAGCGGGACGUGAGCGUGGUGGUGGCGGGCACGGCCCUGGGCACCGUGGUGGUGGCAGGCGACGUGUUUGAACGCAGCGGAGACGAAGACUCAUGGCAAGCGCUGAGCGAAGACCCGGUGGCCCAGGAGCGGAGCCGGAAGAGGGUCCUAGAUACUGCGGACGUAGUCGUGCCUGGUCACGGAGCCCCCUUUAGGGUGGUCAGAGAAGCCCCUCAGCCACGGAACUGAUGUCCAGAAGACCAGAGAAAUGAUGGCUGGAGUCCGAGCAGCCAUCUUGGAUCAUGAGGCAACCUUUGGGACAGAAGCCAGUAGCCAGGACAGUGAGCAGGAAGCUAGAAGCCUGAGUGCCCGAGGACAGUGGCCUCUGCCAUCCUCCUCCCUCCUCCUUUUCUGUGAGGGGAAACAAGGAACUCUGUCUAAGUGACUGUCACAGCUCUUCCUCUCCGACCCUCAGCCUCAUUCUAGAGACAGCCGUUGUGACUUUUCCUCUGCAGAAUAAAAAACAAUUUGUGUAUGUUGAGUUUGUCAACACUUUUCAUCAUGGCUUUUUGGUUUUAUGUCAUACAUAGGGAGGCCAUCUCCACUUCAUGGACAUGAGAUGGUCUCACGUGCUUUCCUCGAGUACUAGGGUUACUCCCCUCCCGCCCCAUUUAACUCCUUGGUUGAUCUGUGAAGUUAUUUUGGUGCAAAUUAUGAGAUAAUAUUAUUUUCCCCAGA